rnacentral:rRNA from 1 species
UACAGAGGUCCCAAGCGUUGUUCGGAUUCACUGGGCGUAAAGGGUGCGUAGGUGGCAGGGUAAGUUUGAUGUGAAAUCUCCGAGCUUAACUCGGAAACUGCAUUGAAUACUAUUCUGCUCGAGGUUUGGAAGGGGGACUGGAAUUCCGCGUGUAGCAGUGAAAUGGCGUAGAUAUGCGGAGGAACACCGAUGGCGAAGCAAUCCCCUGGGCCUGCACUGACGCUCAUGCACGAAAGCGUGGGGAGCAAAC